rnacentral:rRNA from 1 species
ACGGGAGGCAGCAGUAAGGAAUCUUGCACAAUGGGGGAAACCCUGAUGCAGCAACGCCGCGUGAGUGAUUGAAGGCCUUCGGGUUGUAAAACUCUGAUCUGGGGGAAGAAAAAAAUGACGGUACCCCAGGAGAAAGCCCCGGCUAACUACGUGCCAGCAGCCGCGGUAAUACGUAGGGGGCAAGCGUUAUCCGGAAUUAUUGGGCGUAAAGAGUGCGUAGGUGGUUACCUAAGCGCAAGGUUUAAUCUUGAGGCUUAACCUCAUUCUGCCUUGUGAACUGGGCUACUUGAGUGCAGGAGGGGAAAGCGGAAUUCCCAGUGUAGCGGUGAAAUGCGUAGAGAUUGGGAGGAACACCAGUGGCGAAGGCGACUAACUGGACUGUAACUGACGCUGAGGCGCGAAAGUGUGGGGAGCAAACAGGAUUAGAUACCCUGGUA